rnacentral:rRNA from 1 species
GAUGAACGCUGGCGGCGUGCCUAAUACAUGCAAGUCGAGCGAACAGACGAGGAGCUUGCUCCUCUGACGUUAGCGGCGGACGGGUGAGUAACACGUGGAAAACCUACCUAUAAGGCUGAGAACACUUCGGGACACCGGAGAUAAUACCGGAUAACAUAUUGAACCACCUUGUUCACUAGUGAAAGACGGUUUUGCUGUCACUUAUAGCUGGAUCCGCGCCGCAUUAGCUAGUUGGUAAGGUAACGGCUUACCAAGGCAACGAUGCGUAGCCGACCUGAGAGGGUGAUCGGCCACACUGGAACUGAGACACGGUCCAGACUCCUACGGGAGGCAGCAGGAGGGAAUCUUCCGCAAUGGGCGAAAGCCUGACGGAGCAACGCCGCGUGAGUGAUGAAGGUCUUCGGAUCGUAAAACUCUGUUAUUAGGGAAGAACAAAUGUGUAAGUAACUAUGCACGUCUUGACGGUACCUAAGCAGAAAGCCACGGCUAACUACGU